rnacentral:rRNA from 1 species
UGGGGAAUAUUGCGCAAUGGGGGAAACCCUGACGCAGCGACGCCGCGUGCGGGAUGAAGGCCUUCGGGUUGUAAACCGCUUUUGAUUGGGAGCAAGCUUUCGGGUGAGUGUACCUUUCGAAUAAGCGCCGGCUAACUACGUGCCAGCAGCCGCGGUAAUACGUAGGGCGCAAGCGUUAUCCGGAAUUAUUGGGCGUAAAGCGCUCGUAGGCGGUCUGUUAGGUCGGCAAGUUAAAUCCGGGGGCUCAACCCCCGUCCGCUUCCGAUACCAGCAGACUUGAGUUUGGUAGGGGAAGGUGGAAUUCCUAGUGUAGCGGUGGAAUGCGCAGAUAUUAGGAGGAAUACCGGUGGCGAAGGCGACUCUCUGGUCUGUAACUGACGCUGAGGUUCGAAAGCGUGGGUAGCAAACAGG